UCCUGGUUAACCCAGGCAGUCUCGUUAGAGUUCCCAUCUUUCAUGUUGGCAACUAACGAUAAGGGUUGCGCUCGUUGCGGGACUUAACCCAACACCUCACGGCACGAGCUGACGACAGCCAUGCAGCACCUGUGCAAAGGCCCCGAAGGGAAUCGCUGUUUCUAGCGACGUCCUUUGCAUGUCAAGCCUGGGUAAGGUUCUUCGCGUUGCAUCGAAUUAAACCACAUGCUCCACUGCUUGUGCGGGUCCCCGUCAAUUCUUUUGAGUUUCACCCUUGCGAGCGUACUCCCCAGGCGGUAUACUUAUCGCGUUAGCUUCGGCACAACCAGGGUUGAGUCCGGUUACACCAAGUAUACAUCGUUUAAGGCAAGGACUAC
rnacentral:misc_RNA from 1 species